rnacentral:rRNA from 1 species
UUCCGUUGAUCCUGCGGAAGGUUGCUGCUAUUUGGGUUCGACUAAGCCAUGCAAGUUCUCUCUCUUCGGAGGGAUGCGAAAUGCUCAGUAACACGUCAAUAAUCUAACCUUAAGUCAGGAAUACCCUUGGUAAACUGAGGCUAAGACCUGAUAGGAGAAUAGUAGUGGAGAGAUUUUUUCUCUGAAACUCGUGCUUAAGGAUGAGUUGGCGGCAGAUUAGGCUGUUGGUGGGGUAAAGGCCCACCAAACCGAAGAUCUGUAAGGGCCUUGAGAGAGGUAACCCUGAGAAGGACACUGAGAUACUGGUCCUAGCCCUACGGGGCGCAGCAGGCGCGAAACCUUUACACUACACGCAAGUGUGAUAAGGGAACCCAAAGUGCUUUACUUUUAGUAAGGCUUUUGUUAAGAGUAAAUAUCUUGACGAAUAAGUGGUGGGUAAGACUGGUGCCAGCAGCCGCGGUAACACCAGCGCCACGAGUGGUAAUCAUGUUUAUUGGCCUAAAGCGUCCGUAGCCUGUUCUGUAAGUCUUUUGUGAAAUCGUUGUGCUCAACAUAACGGCAUGCAAAAGAGACUGCUGAACUUGGAACCGGGAAGAGUCAGAGGUAUUCUGGGGGGAGCGGUAAAAUGCUAUAAUCCUCGGAGGACCACCAGUGGCGAAGGCGUCUGACUAGAACGGCUUCGACGGUGAGGGACGAAAGCUGAGGGAGCAAUCCGGAUUGGAUACCCGAGUAGUCUCAGCCGUAAACGCUGCGAGCAAGGUGUCACACUUUCUAAGGAACGUGUGGUGUCGAAAUGAAGAUGUUAAGCUCGCCGCCUGGGAAGUAUGGUCGCAAGGCUGAAACUUAAAGGAAUUGGCGGGGGAGCACCACAAGGGGUGCGGCGUGCGGUUUAAUCUAAUUUAACGCAGAGAAUCUCACCAGAAGCGACGGCAGGAUGAAGAUCAGUCUGAAGGGCUUAUCUGACGAGCCGAGAGGUAGUGCAUGGCCGUCGUCAGCUCGUGCCGUAAGGUGUCUUGUUAAGUCAAGCAACGAGCGAGACCUAUACCUACAAUUGCGAGCAAAUCUUUUUGGAUUUGUGCACAUUGUAGGAACUGCUCCGGAAACGGAGAGGAAGGUGUAGGCUACGGUAGGUCUGUAUGCUCCGAAUCUUCUGGGCUACACGCGCGCAACAAUGGUAAGGACAAUGUGAUGCGACACCGAAAGGUGAAGCUAAUCCUCGAAACCUUAUCUUAGUUUAGAUUGAGGACUGUAACUCGUCCUCAUGACACUGGAAUCCCUAGUAAUCAGACAUCAACAUCGUCUGGUGAAUAUGUCCCUGCUCCUUGCACACACCGCCCGUCAAACCACUCGAGCAGGGUCUAGGUGAGAUUUGGUUUCUAAUUAAAUCGAAUCUAGGCUCAGUGAGAUGGGUUAAGUCGUCACAAGGUA